UCGUUAGCUCAGCUGGUAGAGCAGUUGACUUUUAAUCAAUUGGUCGCUGGUUCGAAUCCAGCACGA
rnacentral:tRNA from 3 species